UACGUAGGGGGCUAGCGUUGUCCGGAAUCAUUGGGCGUAAAGCGCGUGUAGGCGGUCCGGUAAGUCCGCUGUGAAAGUCGGGGGCUCAACCCUCGGAUGCCGGUGGAUACUGUCGGGCUUGAGUACGGAAGAGGCGAGUGGAAUUCCUGGUGUAGCGGUGAAAUGCGCAGAUAUCAGGAGGAACACCAAUGGCGAAGGCAGCUCGCUGGGACGUUACUGACGCUGAGGCGCGAAAGCCAGGGGAGCGAACGGG
rnacentral:rRNA from 1 species